rnacentral:misc_RNA from 1 species
UCGUAUCAAAUGUGUGAGGCAUGCGAGGGCUGUCGCUGACUCUUUUAGUCGUGCACGCCGGAGUGUGUCCUCUCACAUAACAAUCCAUCUCACCCUUUGUGCACCACCGCGUGGGCACCCUUUGGGAUCACACCAAUCUCAGACGGGGGCUCACGUUUUCACACAAAACCCCCCCUUUAAAAAGUGUAGAGAAUGUCCUAAUUUAUGCAAUCAAUA